rnacentral:rRNA from 1 species
UACGGAGGGUGCAAGCGUUAUCCGGAUUCACUGGGUUUAAAGGGUGCGUAGGUGGGCAGUUAAGUCAGUGGUGAAAUCUCCGGGCUCAACCCGGAAACUGCCAUUGAUACUAUCUGUCUUGAAUAUCGUGGAGGUAAGCGGAAUAAUGUCAUGUAGCGGUGAAAUGCUUAGAUAUGACAUAGAACACCAAUUGCGAAGGCAGCUUACUACCCGAAUAUUGACACUGAGGCACGAAAGCGUGGGGAUCAAACAGG